GCCACCUGCACGGAGCGAGCAGAGUGGCCACUUAAAGUAAUAACAAAGGAAGAGCUGGCUACUGGCAAGGAGCUCCUGCUGAAAUGAUGCUCAGAAGACAAAAUAAUAUACAUUUCCACCUCAAGAAAACUAUCUGAAGGGUAUUCCUCUCCAAUUGCCAUGUGGACGUCAUCAGGCAGUUGAUUAUCUGUCAUUCACAAUCUUCCAGUGUGGCAGCUUUGUCCUGCUCAGCAACACGAGAGUGAGAACAGCAGUGCUACGCCAUACCCAAUCGACUGGGAAUCGGGAGGAAUAAUGGAUUGUGAUGAGCAUAUUCCCAGUAGCACCUAGAGAUCCCAACAGAGAUGGAAACCUCCUUGUGCUAGGCACUGUACAAACACAUAGUGAGAGACAAUCUCUGCCCCGAACUGCUUACAAUCUAAAGAGAGAGUGCAGACAAAGGAUGGGAGAAGAAAGAGAUUAAAUGACUUGGCCAAGAUCAUACAGCAGCUGAAGCCUUGUGUGGGAAAAAAGCUGCCAAGAGUGGGCCCGGUCGAAAGAGACCCUGCAGCACUGGGAGUGGAGAUGUGUUUCCACAGAAUGGGGCCAGGAAGAGCGGAGUGGGAAAGCAAAGCCUGAGGCAGGAAGAGAAGGAAGUAUCCUCAAGAAAAAUGUGGUUUCCCAGAAAAGGAGGGUUUUGAAGGAAGAUAAUGACUGAAUGGAGGGAGGGUCAUUUGCUGGCUCUGGAAGAGGUGGAGUUUAUUGAAUAAUGGCUCUAUUCCCCCAUGACGCUUGGCCACAGUGGACUGGUAUAUGCCUGUAUCUGCUCUCCUCCACACCUCACAGCUGACAGCAGAGAACCUCUUGUCAAUAAGCCUUUUGUCUGAGGUUAUAUUUUACCCAUUGCUUUUGUUUAGUUAUCGUAUUGUUCUGAGUCCUACACUGUAUAAAAUGCUGUGAUUUCAUGUUUUCUUUCUUUUUAAAAUUAAAUUAAUUUUUAAUAUUUAUUUUGUGAGCAUCAAUUCUUCCCCAGUUAUCUAGCAGCUCUGGAAGAUGUCUUUUGAGUUCUUCUUCUCCCCUUAGUAAUGGUCAUAUUGCAGUUGUAACAGUCAUAAUGCGGUUGUUUGACCAAGCUCUUAACUUAAAGAGAUUGUGUGGUUCCAUUUCCUGUUUGCUUUCACCUUGAUUUUUCUCUAAACUCUCUUGGUAGAUGUAUGUCAUUUGAAAUGAAUUCAUGAGCAAACAUAUAACUAAAUAAUAUGGAAGGAAAACUCCAUGCCCCGGUUCACAGAGAAUGUAGACAGUGCUUUGUGCU